rnacentral:rRNA from 1 species
UACGGAGGGUGCAAGCGUUGUCCGGAUUUAUUGGGUUUAAAGGGUGCGUAGGCGGUUAAUUAAGUCAGUGGUGAAAUCCUGGAGCUCAACUUCAGAACUGCCAUUGAUACUGGUUGACUUGAGUACAGACGAGGUUGGCGGAAUUGAUGGUGUAGCGGUGAAAUGCAUAGAUACCAGCAAGAACACCGAUUGCGAAGGCAGCUAACUAGGCUGUAACUGACGCUGAGGCACGAAAGGGUGGGGAUCAAACAGG